UUUCCUCAGCUGCAGGGUUGCUGGGACAACUCCUGAGGCUUUGGGAGGCAGUUAGCGCGAAGGUGUCCUCUCAGUGUAUCUGAUACCCUGUUGUUUCCACCUCUCUGCCCUAGAACCUACUGGCUGCCCUGUCUCCUCAGCAUUGUGUCAACUUUGUCUCACAAAGCAUAGCUUCCUGUCUGUCUGUAUUUGUCAUUUUCUUCCUGAUGUCUCCUCAGCAUUGUGUCAACUUUGUCUCACAAAGCAUAGCUUCCUGUCUGUCUGUAUUUGUCAUUUUCUUCCUGAUGUCUCC
rnacentral:lncRNA from 1 species